rnacentral:rRNA from 1 species
UAGUGGCGAACGGGUGAGUAACACGUGGGCAAUCUGCCCUGCACUCUGGGACAAGCCCUGGAAACGGGGUCUAAUACCGGAUAACACCCCCUCUCGCAUGGGAGGGGGUUGAAAGCUCCGGCGGUGCAGGAUGAGCCCGCGGCCUAUCAGCUUGUUGGUGAGGUAGAAGCUCACCAAGGCGACGACGGGUAGCCGGCCUGAGAGGGCGACCGGCCACACUGGGACUGAGACACGGCCCAGACUCCUACGGGAGGCAGCAGUGGGGAAUAUUGCACAAUGGGCGAAAGCCUGAUGCAGCGACGCCGCGUGAGGGAUGACGGCCUUCGGGUUGUAAACCUCUUUCAGCAGGGAAGAAGCGAAAGUGACGGUACCUGCAGAAGAAGCGCCGGCUAACUACGUGCCAGCAGCCGCGGUAAUACGUAGGGCGCAAGCGUUGUCCGGAAUUAUUGGGCGUAAAGAGCUCGUAGGCGGCUUGUCACGUCGGUUGU